GUGCUGGCUUCAGCAGCACAUAUACUCAAACUGGAGCAACACAGAGGAAAUUAGCAUGGUCCCUGUGCAAGGAUGACAUGCAAAUUUGUGAAGGGUUCCAUGUUUCU